AAUCAACGCUGGCGGCGUGCCUCAGACAUGCAAGUCGAACGCGAAAGUCCCCUUCGGGGGACAAGUAGAGUGGCGCACGGGUGAGUAACACGUAGGUAAUCUACCUUCGGAUGGGGAAUAACAACCGGAAACGGUUGCUAAUACCGCAUAAUGCAGCGGCACCUAAUGGUGACAGUUGUUAAAGCGGGGGAUCGUUAAGACCUCGCGUCUGAAGAGGAGCCCGCGGCGGAUUAGCUAGUUGGAGGGUAACGGCCUACCAAGGCGACGAUCCGUAGCCGGCCUGAGAGGGCGGUCGGCCACACUGACACUGACAUACGGGUCAGACUCCUACGGGAGGCAGCAGUCGGGAAUUUUGGGCAAUGGGCGAAAGCCUGACCCAGCAACGCCGCGUGAAGGAUGAAAUCCCUCGGGAUGUAAACUUCGCAAGAACGGGAAGAAUAAGCGAGAGUAAAUACCUUUCGCGAUGACGGUACCGUUUGUAAGCUCCGGCUAACUCCGUGCCAGCAGCCGCCGC
rnacentral:rRNA from 1 species